rnacentral:rRNA from 1 species
AUGCAAGUUGAACGGUAACAGGAAACAGCUUGCUGUUUCGCUGACGAGUGGCGGACGGGUGAGUAAUGUCUGGGAAACUGCCUGAUGGAGGGGGAUAACUACUGGAAACGGUAGCUAAUACCGCAUAACGUCGCAAGACCAAAGAGGGGGACCUUCGGGCCUCUUGCCAUCGGAUGUGCCCAGAUGGGAUUAGCUAGUAGGUGGGGUAACGGCUCACCUAGGCGACGAUCCCUAGCUGGUCUGAGAGGAUGACCAGCCACACUGGAACUGAGACACGGUCCAGACUCCUACGGGAGGCAGCAGUGGGGAAUAUUGCACAAUGGGCGCAAGCCUGAUGCAGCCAUGCCGCGUGUAUGAAGAAGGCCUUCGGGUUGUAAAGUACUUUCAGCGGGGAGGAAGGGAGUAAAGUUAAUACCUUUGCUCAUUGACGUUACCCGCAGAAGAAGCACCGGCUAACUCCGUGCCAGCAGCCGCGGUAAUACGGAGGGUGCAAGCGUUAAUCGGAAUUACUGGGCGUAAAGCGCACGCAGGCGGUUUGUUAAGUCAGAUGUGAAAUCCCCGGGCUCAACCUGGGAACUGCAUCUGAUACUGGCAAGCUUGAGUC